GAUGAACGCUAGCGGCAGGCUUAACACAUGCAAGUCGAGGGGUAACAGGGAGAAGCUUGCUUUUCCGCUGACGACCGGCGCACGGGUGCGUAACGCGUAUAGAACCUACCUUUUACAGAGGAAUAGCCCAGAGAAAUUUGGAUUAAUGCCUCAUAGUAUUAUAGAAUGGCAUCAUUUUAUAAUUAAACAUUUAUGGGUAAAAGAUGGCUAUGCGUUCUAUUAGCUAGUUGGUAAGGUAACGGCUUACCAAGGCUACGAUAGAUAGGGGUCCUGAGAGGGAGAUCCCCCACACUGGUACUGAGACACGGACCAGACUCCUACGGGAGGCAGCAGUGAGGAAUAUUGGACAAUGGAGGCAACUCUGAUCCAGCCAUGCCGCGUGCAGGAAGACGGCCCUAUGGGUUGUAAACUGCUUUUAUAUAGGAAGAAACCUUUCCACGUGUGGAAAGCUGACGGUACUAUAAGAAUAAGCACCGGCUAACUCCGUGCCAGCAGCCGCGGUAAUACGGAGGGUGCAAGCGUUAUCCGGAAUCAUUGGGUUUAAAGGGUCCGUAGGCGGACUAAUAAGUCAGGGGUGAAAUCCAACAGCUUAACUGUUGAACUGCCUUUGAUACUGUUAGUCUUGAAUUAUAUGGAAGUAGAUAGAAUGUGUAGUGUAGCGGUGAAAUGCUUAGAGAUUACACAGAAUACUCGUAUUGCGAAGGCAGUCUACUACGUAUAUAUUGACGCUAAUGGACGAAAGCGUGGGGAGCGAACAGGAUUAGAUACCCUGGUAGUCCACGCCGUAAACGAUGGACACUAGUUGUUGGAGUAAUUCAGUGACUAAGCGAAAGUGAUAAGUGUCCCACCUGGGGGAGUACGAUCGCAAGAUUGAAACUCAAAGGAAUUGACGGGGGGCCCGCACAAGCGGGUGGAACCAUGUGGGUUUUAAUUUCGAAUGAAUACGCCGAGGAACCCUUUACCAGGGCUUAAAUGGUAGGGUUGGCAUUUAGCCUAGAAGAUAGCUUAUUUUCUUCCGGAACUACUUUACAAAGGUGGCUGGCAUGGGUUUG
rnacentral:rRNA from 1 species